rnacentral:lncRNA from 1 species
UGAUCCUUGAAUGAAUGUUAAAAGGUAAUCAUACAACCUAACCAAUAUAAAAAAGACACCUAUGACAAUAGUUAUUGUAUCACCAUUGUAUAUCACUUUCAACCACCAUUGUUAUAACUAUAACAUCACUCAAAUAUUGACUAAAAUUUUAAACAAAAAAGAAAAAAAUGAACACAAACAUGAUUCUACAAGAAACUGUUCACACGUUUAAGGACAAUUUUUGUGGACAUACAAUGCAAAUUCUAAACUGUUUUAAUUUUUUUUUAAUGACCAUGGUUUUGAAAGACAAAACAAAUUCUACACUACCUAAUAUAUAAAAGUUGAUCUUAAUUUAGAUAAAUUGCAGCUGAAAAUAGCUUUUGACUAAAUUUUAAGCCGAUUCUAGGAGAGGGUUUUACUUUCUAAUCAUGAAAAAUGAACAAUGGAAUGAUAAUAAUAUAUAGAAUAUGAUAAAAAGUUAAUAAAUGAAAAUGAAUGAAAAUGAUGAGAGAUAUUUAGAUAAAAAAAAAAGUUGAAGAGUGAAGGGUGGGGAAGACAUAGUUGUCAAUAUCGAAGAAAAGGAAGCAAGGUGUGUGAGGGUGAGGGUUGUAAGUGUGUGGUAUGUUUUGUGGUUUGUUUAGGGUCCAUGCAUAAUUGGUGAGGUGCGUCACGUCAGAUUCAGAAACCUCCAGCACCCACAAUGCGUACUAAACUCCACAACCUAUCUACACCCAUAAUUCGACACAUACCAAUAGGGAAUAGUGUACAUUAACCACUUUCUUUCUCUUAAUUUUAUAAAUCAACCCUAAAUUUAUG